rnacentral:rRNA from 1 species
CCUUAGAGUUUGAUCCUGGCUCAGAGCGAACGCUGUCGGCAGGCUUAACACAUGCAAGUCGAGCGGGCGUAGCAAUACGUCAGCGGCAGAGGGGUGAGUAACGCGUGUUAACGUACCUUUUGGUUCGGAACAACACAGGGAAACUUGUGCUAAUACCGGAUAAGCCCUUACGGGGAAAGAUUUAUCGACGAAAGAUUCGGCCCGCGUCUGAUUAUCUAGUUGGGUGAGGUAACGGCUCACCAAGGCGACGAUCAGUAGCUGGUCUGAGAGGAGGAUCAGCCACAUUGGGAAUGAGACACGGCCCAAACUCCUACGGGAGGCAGCAGUGGGGAAUAUUGGACAAUGGGGGCAACCCUGAUCCAGCCAUGCCGCGUGAGUGAUGAAGGCCCUAGGGUUGUAAAGCUCUUUUGUGCGGGAAGAUAAUGACGGUACCGCAAGAAUAAGCCCCGGCUAACUUCGUGCCAGCAGCCGCGGUAAUACGAAGGGGGCUAGCGUUGCUCGGAAUCACUGGGCGUAAAGAGUGCGUAGGCGGAUCUUUAAGUCAGAGGUGAAAGCCUGGAGCUCAACUCCAGAACUGCCUUUGAUACUGGGGAUCUUGAGUUCGGGAGAGGUGAGUGGAACUGCGAGUGUAGAGGUGAAAUUCGUAGAUAUUCGCAAGAACACCAGUGGCGAAGGCGGCUCACUGGCCCGAUACUGACGCUGAGGCACGAAAGCGUGGGGAGCAAACAGGAUUAGAUACCCUGGUAGUCCACGCCGUAAACGAUG